GACGAACGCUGGCGGCGUGCCUAAUACAUGCAAGUAGAACGCUGAAGAGAGGAGCUUGCUCUUCUUGGAUGAGUUGCGAACGGGUGAGUAACGCGUAGGUAACCUGCCUUGUAGCGGGGGAUAACUAUUGGAAACGAUAGCUAAUACCGCAUAACAAUGGGUGACACAUGUCAUUUAUUUGAAAGGGGCAAUUGCUCCACUACAAGAUGGACCUGCGUUGUAUUAGCUAGUAGGUGAGGUAAUGGCUCACCUAGGCGACGAUACAUAGCCGACCUGAGAGGGUGAUCGGCCACACUGGGAAUGAGACACGGCCCAGACUCCUACGGGAGGCAGCAGUAGGGAAUCUUCGGCAAUGGGGGCAACCCUGACCGAGCAACGCCGCGUGAGUGAAGAAGGUUUUCGGAUCGUAAAGCUCUGUUGUAAGUCAAGAACGGGUGUGAGAGUGGAAAGUUCACACUGUGACGGUAGCUUACCAGAAAGGGACGGCUAACUACGUG
rnacentral:rRNA from 1 species